UCCAGACGUAGGCAACUGCCUAGGUUGCAUUGCACCUAAGCAAGUGUCACACUGCUGGGAGAAAAGCAGCUAAUAGAAGUGGCGGAUAUC
rnacentral:snoRNA from 1 species